GAUGAACGCUGGCGGCGUGCCUAAUACAUGCAAGUCGAGCGAGCGGCGGACGGGUGAGUAAUGUCUGGGAAACUGCCUGAUGGAGGGGGAUAACUACUGGAAACGGUAGCUAAUACCGCAUACCAUCAGAUGUGCCCAGAUGGGAUUAGCUAGUAGGUGGGGUAACGGCGCACCUAGGCGACGAUCCCUAGCUGGUCUGAGAGGAUGACCAGCCACACGGGAACUGAGACACGGGCCAGACUCCUACGGGAGGCAGCAGAGGGGAAGAUUGCACAAUGGUCGAAAGCCUGAUGCAGCCAUGCCGCGUGUAUGAAGAAGGCCUUCGGGGUGUAAAGUACUUUCAGCGGGGAGGCGUUACCCGCAGAAGAAGCACCGGCUAACUCCGUGCCAGCAGCCGCGGUAAUUC
rnacentral:rRNA from 1 species